ensembl:snoRNA
UCCUGGUACCAAAAAAAAUUCUUAAGAAAAGUCCAUGUCGGUGAUUUGGAGAGAUCUCGGGCCAGCUUGCUCCCCACAGGCUCAAGAGCAACUGUCCCACAUGG